rnacentral:rRNA from 1 species
AUUGAACGCUGGCGGCAUGCCUAACACAUGCAAGUCGAGCGCGCGGCGGACGUGUGUGUCAUGUAUGGGGCUCUGCCUGAUGGCUGGGGUUAACUCCUGGAAACGGUAGCUAAUACCGCAUACCAUCAGCUGAACCCAUAUUGGAUUAGCUUGUAGGUGAGGUAACGGCUCACCUAGGAGACGAUCCCUAGCUGGUCUGAGAGGAUGAUCAGCCACACUGGAACUGAGACACGGUCCAGACUCCUACGGGAGGCAGCAGUGGGGAAUAUUGCGCAAUGGGGGCAAGCCUGACGCAGCCAUGCCGCGUGAAUGAAGAAGGCCUUCGGGUUGUAAAGUUCUGUCGGUAGGGAGGCGUUAACUACAGAAGAAGCACCGGCUAACUCCGUGCCAGCAGCCGCGGUAAUAC